AUCACGGACUUUUCUCCACCGCUCCCCACUCUCUCACGCACUCCCUCCCAUCUUUCUUUCCUAACGUUCUCUUUCUGUCACCCUCACCCACAAUCUCUUUCUCGCUCUCACUGGUUCUCAACCUCACUCGACAGACGUGGUGCAGUGACCGGCUUUGGGGAUGGAAGAUAGACGACAAAGGAUUUGGUGCAGCCGACGGAAGGUGAACGACUUUUCUUUCCCAAGCUCUCUGCGCCAUUGAUUCCUGCAUGCUUUGUCUCCUCUCUCCUCGUUUCCUCCAGCGUCUGCCUCCUCCAUGGAUGAUGAUGGGAAGAGAAAGAUGGAGUCUCACUGAGCUAUAAGCCCAAGAUGUGUAGCAUUACUUAGAAUAAAUAUUGUGUAUUUUUUUUAUUUGCGAUUCUUGUAAAUUUUAUAUAUGUUUUAAUAUGGCCAAAUGUAAUUUUUUUGUAAUGCCUUCUCUA